UUCCCUUGCUGGUCAGACAGCCUGACAUGUGGACAUGGGAAAGUACAGAGCUUUGUUGCCCAGCAGCUGGAGAUGGUGGCACCAGGACACAAUGUAAAGCAAAGAAAAGCAAAGAGAACACGAGCUUCAUGAACACAGAGGGAGCUUCCUUGUGCUGUCACCAACACGCCUUGAUCCCAUUCUGGACAGAUUACCUGCAGAGCUCUUCGUUUCUGUGUCUGUUCACUGCUUCACAUCCUCACUACCGCUGCCAAAUACCAUGGCACUGAUGCUCUUCAUUACAAACAGGAUCAGGGCUCACGCAAGGUCCCAGGCAGACAAACAAACCUGAGUUAUGUAGUGCCUGACACAUCUGACACAGGCAGGCACAACCUGCACUGUCCCGGCCACUACCGAGGAAGGCAGGAAUGGGAAAAAGUCAUCAAAGGCUGAGGAAGAUGGGAAAUACCUGUACCACCUUUGCUGCAUUUGUUUGUGAAACAUCAUCUUGUAACUUCAUUUGAUCUGGUCUACUAACAAAAGCUCCUCAUGCCCUGCUUUCUAGUUGUACGGAGCAGCAGGGUGUCGUGCACGCACAGAAAACUGGUGCAGUACGAUCUAUUAAUACAGAAGUUACACAUUUUAAAUCAGCCAGAAGGCAGGCAGGGAAGGUCCCACACCAGAUCAGAGCAAUGUGCAUCUUCCAGGCUUUUGUCUCUGACAGCGGCUGAUGCCAGAUGUUUUAUGAAGAAAAGCUAAAACUAUGGAGGCUGUCAAAACAAGCUCUGUGCAAUGGUGGAAGCUGGCAACUGAAGACUGGCCGAACCCCCAAAGCUUUUUCCAAAUUACUUACCUAUAUUAAUUACUGCCCUGCAUAUCGUUGAUGGCGAUAUCCUUUUAUAAAUCUUGUUAAAUUCUUGGCCUCAGCGGCUUUUCCUGUGUUAAUGACUUCCACAUUUUAAUCACACGUGAGAAAGUAUUUCCUUCUUUUACAGAGGUAUUAAUAUGGACGCUUGGCAACUUCUCUUCACAGACCAAAGAAAUAUUUCAAAGAGAAACUGUUUUCUAGGCAGAAAGGUGACAGCUUCAGAUAACCUCUAACUUCUCCAUAACAGCGUGGGGACAUAAUACAGGUGUAAAUGGAAGUCUAUGAGAUGCACACAGCUUCAGAUGUUACAGAUAUAAAUUUUAUGUGAAUACAGCAAAUUACAAAUUCUAGGCUUUAUCAGUAUUUCAGGUAUUAGAAAUGAGUUGACAUGUUAAAGAGUCCUAAAACUGUUUCUGCGUUAA
rnacentral:lncRNA from 1 species